AACGAACGCUGGCGGCAGGCCUAACACAUGCAAGUCGAGCGAGGACUUCGGUCCUAGCGGCGGACGGGUGAGUAACGCGUGGGAACGUGCCCUUUGCUUCGGAAUAGCCCUGGGAAACUGGGAGUAAUACCGGAUGAGCCCUUUGGGGGAAAGAUUUAUCGGCGAAGGAUCGGCCCGCGUUGGAUUAGGUAGUUGGUGGGGUAUUGGCCUACCAAGCCGACGAUCCAUAGCUGGUUUGAGAGGAUGAUCAGCCACACUGGGACUGAGACACGGCCCAGACUCCUACGGGAGGCAGCAGUGGGGAAUCUUAGACAAUGGGGGAAACCCUGAUCUAGCCAUGCCGCGUGAGCGAUGAAGGCCUUAGGGUUGUAAAGCUCUUUCAGCUGGGAAGAUAAUGACGGUACCAGCAGAAGAAGCCCCGGCUAACUCCGUG
rnacentral:rRNA from 1 species